AACGAACGCUGGCGGCAUGCCUAACACAUGCAAGUCGAACGGGAUCCUGGUUUCGGCCAGGUGAGAGUGGCGGACGGGUGAGUAACGCGUGGGAACCUGCCCAGUGGGUGGGGAGUAACUAGCGGGAACGUAGCAGCUAAUAACCGCAUGAGCCCGCCGAAAGGGGAAAAGGGAAUUGUAUCGCCCACUUGGAGGGGCCCGGCCGUUCGUAUUAGGUAGUUGGUGGAGGUAACGG
rnacentral:rRNA from 1 species